UCCCUGGUGGCCUAGUGGUUAAGGAGCUGGCAUUGUCAUUGCUGUAAUACAGGUUCAAUCCCUGGCCUGGGAA
rnacentral:tRNA from 1 species